ACGAAGGAUAAAACGUCACGAUACGUAAUUUAGAGUUCCCGCAAAUAUCGGGUCAAGGUUUUUUUAUAUUAACACCUUCUUAUUUUGUUAUUUAAAGGAAAAGGUCAUAAACAUGAUAAGUAUUAACCGUGGAGUCCACGUAUGUCCCACGAAAGAUAAAACGUCACAAUACCAAUACGUCACGGUUUAGUCAGUUUCCAUGCCGUGACACAAAAUAAUAUUUGAAAUUUAAUCCCCGCAGAUAUCGGAAGAAGUUUUUUUUAUAUAACCCCUUUCGUCUUGCUCAUAACAAACAAGAGAAGGUUAAUUAACAGAACAGCGAGCGACAACAUAGAAAAAGUUGCAUUUUUUUUUCUUAGUUCUUCUUUUUCGUCUUCGAUCUGAAACUUUUAGACUUUUUUUUUUUUUUGGUAAAAAACUUUUAGACUUGUUAUGGAGAAAAUGGUGGAUCCGCAUCCGGUGGGCUUCAGAUUCCAUCCGACCGACGAGGAGAUCAUUGGCUAUUACCUCAGGGAAAAAAAUAUGGAUAGCUUCGAUCCUUGGGAGUUACCUUCCCACUCGAGUUCAAUAAGGAAGGACGAUGUUUGGUAUUUCUUCGCUCGUAAAGACAACAAAUAUGUGCACACAAAAAAAAAAGUAAAGACGACAAAUAUAACAGAGGAACCCCUUUUUUCAAAAAAAGAAGACAAAUAUAACAGAGGAGGGAGACAGAGCAGGAAAAAGAGUUCUGGUUUUUGGAAGAAGACCGGAGUUACUGUUAACAUGAUCAACCCAACAGUCCAACAGCCCAUGACAAGAAAGAAGAAGAAUUGAGCCAUCAACAACGCAAGCCCACAACUCAGCUCCAGACACCAACAGCUAGCAACAGCUCAGCCUUCGCUGAAAACAAGCAGAGUAUGGAUUCAACAAUUAAGUUGGAGGACAUUUUGGUCUCCUUGCAGAAAACGACAUUUAAACUCUCUGAGUAGAAAGUUCCUUAAUAUAUUCCAUUAGGUUAAGCUUGUCCUCUCUGUAUAAAUAACAAAGGAUGUACAAGUUCUUAAGUAUAAAAAGAAAAAAAAAAUUCUUAAGUAAUAAAAAUGGAGUUUAAGCU